GCUCUGUUCGUCUACUGGUUAGGAUACUAGGUUUUCACCCUGGUGAAACGGGUUCAAUUCCCGUACAGAGUACCA
rnacentral:tRNA from 1 species